rnacentral:lncRNA from 1 species
GCCAAUGCCACCACGGCCACUUACGCCCACCCUCACCUCGUCAUUGUCGUUACUACAACACCACCGACACCACCACAUCACCACCAACAAAUCGCCACCACCAAAUCCAAUCUACUACCAACAAAAACCAUGACAACCACCUUUAUUAGAUCUCCAGCCACCAAUAACUACCUUCACCACUAUUGCACUACAACUACCGCCAGUAACAACCUAACAAUCAAAAACCCUCGCCAUCACCUCGAAUCCACAAAGAACAAAUAACAGACCGAAGGUCUUGGGAGUGGGUGCCACCAGAUUGCCGUCUUGGAAGUGGGUGCCAUUAGAUCGUCAUCUGCGAUGCGACAUCGUGAGCAGAUAAUAUGCGGCGCUCACUCCCCCUCACCCGUCGUCGUUGGUGAAAUGUGACGCGCAAAAAAGCAUGUGAAGAAACAAAAAAUGGUCGCCGUCAAUGCUGAGAAGAAGGAAAAAAAUGCAAUGAGGAAAGAAAUCAUCGAUGAAAGGUAGUGAUUGUGGGAGUGGGGCACUUGGAGGGUGAAUUAAU